rnacentral:tRNA from 1 species
CAUGGCAGGUGCCCGCUGCGGUCUUCAAAUCCACU